GCUGAAAGUUGGACAAGCAGGAAGUGAACCGACGGCUGCCCGAGAGGAAACAGACUAAGCGAGAGUCCUGCUGCCGACAGGCCCGAGCCGCUCGGAAACAUGGAGGAGGCCAGUGGUGGUGGAGGAGAUGACCGUGUGCGAAACCUGCAGAGUGAAGUGGAGGGAGUAAAGAACAUUAUGACCCAGAAUGUGGAGCGGAUCCUGGCCCGGGGAGAAAACUUGGAUCAUCUCCGUAACAAGACAGAGGAUCUGGAAGCCACAUCCGAGCACUUCAAGACCACAUCGCAGAAGGUGGCUCGGAAGUUCUGGUGGAAGAAUGUGAAGAUGAUCGUCCUCAUCUGCGUGAUUGUUUUUAUCAUCGUCCUCUUCAUCGUGCUCUUUGCCACGGGUGCCAUCCCUUAAGUAACUUAGGGAACCCCUCCCACCCUGCCCUCUUCUUGGGUGGCAGCCUUCCAUAGUGGGUGCCAAGAGGCGCCCUCUCUCCUGUCCUUCUCCACAGGGAAUGCUGCUCCGUCCUCCCGCCCCUCAUUCUGGGGCCCCUCUACCACACUGUCUGACCCAGGGAGCACCUUGGUCCCCAGAAGGAGAGAGCUGGACUGUGGCUGUGUUUCAGGGGUCCUCAGAGUUGGUUGGAGAGACCCAGAAGGGCCAGCACAUGGCUGGGAAACUGAUGGAACUGAGGGUGGCCAGUGGGCAAUAAAGACCUUUCAGUAUCCCUAUGCAUGUGAGGUACUUUCUCCCUUUCCAUUUUGCCUUUGGCCCUUCCAUUUCUUUUCUCCCCAAGGACGCCCUCUGGCAGAGAUCCUCCCUUUGGAGGCCCAAGCUGUUGGAGGAGUGGAGAGCAUAUGUUUGGAGAAGAAAGAUGGAAACUCCCUGUCUUUCUUUAUCUCCCCUUGUUCCAUCAUUGUCACUGGUCUCAAGAACAGGAAUUUUCUGGAGGUCUUGGCAUAUGGAAAAUUCAAAACCUUCCCAGCAUUUUAGGGUCGUAUGUAAGACUUUUAAGUGUCCCCUCUGGGACUUGCCAUUUCCUUUAUUAGUUUUCUGCUGGAAGUGUUAGCCGAGACAUGAAGCCUACCUGGGCAGAGCAUUUAGGAAUCUGGUUAAGGGCCUCCCACCCCUCCCAUCAUUGCCAUUUCUCUUUGGUGGACCUGCUGUAGUCUUAGAGUGAGGGGGUUAGAGGAACUGAACUGCUUUUCCUUCUCUUGUGGUUCUGCGAGUUCUAUUUGUCUUUUGUCUGCCCCUGUCCUUCUGGAACUUAGCAGGGCCUCUGGGUCUCAGCUGUCCUGAGCGGGUGAGCAUCUCUCACCCGUGUCUCGUGGCUGGGCACAGUCAGUGUCACAGGACAGGGCCUAUGGCCUUCCUUCCCCUCCAUGGACAAUGGACCUCUCUGUCUUUGGGCCUCCCUCCUCUCCACCAGGUUCCACCAUCGUUGUCACUCUUUCCAGUGCCCAGUGCGCCUUGGUUUGGGGGAAGGGUUUAUGUCAUCUCUGUCCCUAUUUCCCCCAUAGGCUUUCCAGAAUUGAAAAGAACCUGAUUCGGGGAGGGAAUCUGGAAGGGGUGGGGUUGGGAAACAGGACUGGGGACUAGUACUGGCAAGUCAGGUUCUAGAAUCAUGCUCCAGGGACUUCCCUGGCGGUCCAGUGGUUAAGACUCCACACUUCCAAUGCAGGGGGCGUGGGUUUGAUCCCUGGUUGGGGAAUUAGGAUCCCACAUGCCGCGCAGUGCAGCCAAAAAAAAAAAAAAAAAUAGAACCAUGCCCCGAAAACUAGGAAGGGAGGAAAGCACAGAAGAGACCCUGGGGGCAGACUUUGUCAGGACCCUGUCCAUCCUCUCUCUUCUCAGUCCACUCCUGGACUCGAGGUCCAAGCAACUGGGGUGAUUGGGACCUAGUCUGUCCAGGCUGGGGGUGGGGUCUGUGCUCACAUGGGGCUCAACGUGGGAGAGGGAAGCCCCCAACCCCCUUCCUCAAGAGGGGCCACCUUUGAGAUGUUGGGAUGGUAUGUGGUGGGAUAGAGAACAGGUGGCUGCAGCAGUGAAAGGGCAGGCUGAGGAUGGAUAGACUCAGCUCAGGAAGGCUCUGGACAGGUUAGACACACCAGCCUCCCUCAUCCUCCAGCUGAGGAAGGGGGUCAUAUCAGGACAGGGCUGCACUUGCCCACGUGGUGAAGGGGAAAGAAAGAAAAAGCUAGAGCUAGUACCUUCUCCAUGGGGGUCUGUUUUCUCUUUUUUGGGGGGAGGUACGCGGGCCUCUCACUGUCGGGGCCUCUCCCGUUGCGGAGCACAGGCUCCGGACGCGCAGGCUCAACGGCCAUGGCUCACGGGCCCAGCCGCUCCGUGGCAUGGGGGAUCUUCCCGGACCGGGGCACGAACCCGUGUCCCCUGCAUCGGCAGGUGGACUCUCAACCACUGUGCCACCAGGGAAGCCCUGUUUUCUCUUUUAAUUGAGGUGAAAUUCGCAAAACAUACAACUGACCGUUUUAAAAUGUACCCUCCAGUGGCAGGUAGUGCACUCAUGAUAUUUAUUGUGAAUAAACUUUAUUUAGUUUCA
rnacentral:lncRNA from 1 species